AUACAGAGGGUGCGAGCGUUAAUCGGAAUUACUGGGCGUAAAGCGCGCGUAGGCGGCUUAUUAAGUCAGAUGUGAAAUCCCCGGGCUCAACCUGGGAACUGCAUCUGAUACUGGUAAGCUAGAGUUUUGGAGAGGGAAGUAGAAUUUCAGGUGUAGCGGUGAAAUGCAUAGAGAUCUGAAGGAAUACCAGUGGCGAAGGCGACUUCCUGGACUCGAACUGACGCUGAGGUACGAAAGCGUGGGUAGCAAACGGGAUUAGAAACCCUAGUAGUCC
rnacentral:rRNA from 1 species